rnacentral:rRNA from 1 species
GAUGAACGCUGGCGGCGUGCCUAAUACAUGCAAGUCGAGCGAACGGACGCGUAUCUUUCUUCUCUGAUUUUAGCGGCUGACGGGUGAGUAACUCGUGUAUCACCUCCCUUUCAUUCUUGGAUAACUUCUUGAAACCGUUGCUAAUACCGUCUAAUAUUUUGAACCUCUUUUUUCAUAAGUGUAAUACGGUCUUUCUGUCUCUUAUCGAUUGUUCCGCCCUGCAUUAGCUAGUUGGUAAGGUAACGGCUUACCAAGGCAACGAUGCAUAGCCGACCUGAGAGGGGGAUAGGCCACAAUGGAACUGAGACACGGACCAGACGACUACGGGAGGCAGCAGAAGGGAAUAUUCCGAAAGGGGCGAAAGCAUGACGGAGCAACGCCGAGUGAGAGAAGAAGGUCUUCGGAUCGUAAAACUCUGUUAUUAGGGAAGAAAAAAUGUGUAAGUAAAUGUGCACAGCUUGACGGUAACUAAUAAGAAAGCCACGGCUAACUACGUG